ensembl:lncRNA
AGCUGGAGGAGGGGCUCCAUAGCUGAGGCGACGUGGUUUGUGCCAGUUUGCCCAAUAUAAUUAGGAAAGCAUUGGUGUGCUGGUCACGGGGCGUGAGAUGUGCACAUUAGUGCCACCUCAAAAUGUGGUCGUCCCGAGGUGGCUGUGUGACCCACGGCUUUGACCAGGCUGAGUCACCAACAAGUGUUUGGAAAUCUCAUCCCUGCUCUGAUCCCACAAGUCAGCCUCGCUGCCAAAGUGCUGUGGGCCCCCCCCCACUUGUCUCCCCGGGGCCCUUUGCUCUGGAGAGAAUCGAGAAGGCACCUGCAAUCUGAGAGAUCUGCUGAAGGGAAGUGCUGGGAUGUUAACACUGGAGGAGUUGGCUUGCAGUUACUUGGCUUAAAUGUUCCUCAGGAGGCCUGACUACAAUAUUAAUUCAUGACGCCGUUAAGUGUGCAAAACUUUUUUUUAUAUAUAUUUUUUUAGUUUGAAUUCUCUAAAUUUCAACAUCCCAUUUUGCUUGAUAUGGCGUUGUUGCACAAAAUGCAGAGUUGUUCAGUGUUUCCCCUAGGUUUACAACUUUAGUAGUGGGGUUAGAAGGGAGUAGUACUAGCAGUAGUGGUCGGGCGAACGGUUUGGCCGACCGGAGAAGAGGGUGGGUGGGGGUACGCUGUUGUUGAAUAAACCUGAUUAUCUUUCAUAAUACUAAUGGAACGGUAUCAGUAUACCAUUAGGUCUCUCAGCCCUGCCCAUACCUGCUCUGCUUGGUCCCCUGCCAAAAUCUAUGACUCACAGGAGACUGAUUGACCUACUUUUUUUUUUUUUCUUUUAGGAUUGCCAGAAGAUCUUUUUGUGUUUGCAAGGCAACACAGUGGGUAAAUAUAAGUCAAUUAAAAUGCACUUAAUGCACCCAUUUUUGGAUUUAAGCACCUUAAGGCUGUGUCAGCAUGGCAGCAACCUCUGAGGAAUCCCUUCAUUAUCACAAGGAAAGAGAAUAUGUAGUAAACAGUUGGUAUCUCAUUAAAAGCAAACUGAGUUUAAGGCCACGCUGGCUCUCAUCAAGCUAAUUUAACAAUAUAACUCACUUAGGUGCUCUCAUACUCCUGAAAUUUCUGUGCUUUUAUAUCACACGUUCCAAGUCUCUCCAGGUUGUCAGAUUGUGGUCUCUACAUGUAGACAAAGCAUUUAUCUACACAAAUCAGGGAAAGUUGUGUCAAGGCCUUGUCUUUGUUUUAGCAAUGAUUGAGGUUUGGCUGCACUGAGACGUUAAAGAAUAGUUGCUCUUAAAUACUAUUAGGAUGAAGGCAGGAAAUACAAAUGUUUG